rfam:Otolemur garnettii contig063200, whole genome shotgun sequence.
AAACCUUUUGACUAAGAUCAAGUGUAGUGUCUGUUCUUACCAGUUUAAUGUCUGAUAUGUCCUCUAUCUGAGGACAAUAUAUUAAAUGGAUUUUUGGAGCAGGGAGUUGGAAUAGGAGCUUGCUCCAUCCACUCCACGCAUUGAAAAAUAAAAAUAAAAAAGAAAAUCCACCACUGUGCUUUUUAU